CGAAUUUUAUUAUUUUCAUCUUUUCGUCGAUCGAGUUAAUCGGGAGUUUUUUUUUUCUUCUAAAUCAUAAUCUCUUCUCACUUUCGAUAUUACUUUCGAUAACCUAACCUCUCUUUCUCUCUCUCUCUCUCUCGAUUCGUAAAACGGUGAGUAAGUUUUCUUAAGUGGCGAAGAAGAAGGAUCGGCAACAAAGCGUAAUGUAACAAUAAAUAAUUAUAGGUGGUAAAAUUCACCGAAUAUAAUAUUCGAAAAUAUUAUCCUUAAAAGCGAAGAUCGAAUUUUAUUAUUUUCAUCUUUUCGUCGAUCGAGUUAAUCGGGAGUUUUUUUUUUCUUCUAAAUCAUAAUCUCUUCUCACUUUCGAUAUUACUUUCGAUAAUCUAACCUCUCUUUCUCUCUCUCUCUCUCGAUUCGUAAAACGGUGAGUAAGUUUUCUUAAGUGGCGAAGAAGAAGGAUCGGCAACAAAGCGUAAUGUAACAAUAAAUAAUUAUAGGUGGUAAAAUUGUCGGUGUGUUAAUAAUACGCGCGCGAUGUGACUGGUUGAUAUUACACGCAGAGAGUCGUGAAACUGCGUUUAACACGGUUCUUUGUCGUCUCCUGUCCCCCUCCCCCCCGUUAUCGCAUAAAUGAGCGCAUAAAAGAAGCGCGUUUAGAAGGCCAGGUGGACAAUAAUUUUUCGAGCCGACCAGUUUUUGCCAAGUUUAAAAACGAAAACUCCCAUCUUCUCCAAAGAUAUUAUCUUUAUUAUUCCAGUUUAAAAUUAAAAAUUAAUCGUGAUCGUUAUCCAUUUCGUCACGCGUUUUUAUCGAAGAAUUGACACGUUGUGAAUUCCAAGAGGAGAAAGAAUAUAUAUA